rnacentral:rRNA from 1 species
AAAACGACUCUCGGCAACGGAUAUCUCGGCUCUCGUAUCGAUGAAGAACGCAGCGAAAUGCGAUACUUGGUGUGAAUUGCAGGAUCCCGCGAACCAUCGAGUCUUUGAACGCAAGUUGCGCCCGAAGCCUUUUGGCCGAGGGCACGUCUGCCUGGGUGUCACUC